GACGAACGCUGGCGGCGUGCUUAACACAUGCCAGUCGAACGGAAAGGCCCUGCUUUUGUGGGGUGCUCGAGUGGCGAACGGGUGAGUAACACGUGAGUAACCUGCCCUUGACUUUGGGAUAACUUCAGGAAACUGGGGCUAAUACCGGAUAGGAGCUCCUGCUGCAUGGUGGGGGUUGGAAAGUUUCGGCGGUUGGGGAUGGACUCGCGGCUUAUCAGCUUGUUGGUGGGGUAGUGGCUUACCAAGGCUUUGACGGGUAGCCGGCCUGAGAGGGUGACCGGCCACAUUGGGACUGAGAUACGGCCCAGACUCCUACGGGGGGCAGCAGUGGGGAAUAUUGCACAAUGGGCGGAAGCCUGAUGCAGCAACGCCGCGUGCGGGAGGACGGCCUUCGGGUUGUAAACCGCUUUCGCCUGUGACGAAGCGUGAGUGACGGUAAUGGGUAAAGAAGCACCGGCUAACUACGU
rnacentral:rRNA from 1 species